CUCAGAGACAGACUCAGUCACUCUGCACUGUCAGACUCCAUCAUCUGUUCCUGUGUCUCAGUGUUAUUUCAAAACUAUGAGAACAAAACGGGGCAAAGUCUUCCCCUGUCUGAAGACACUGACAGGAACUGAGCUGCUGGAGAUGUCACAUCAGAGUUCACCUGCUGAGGUUAAAGUGACAUGUUUUUAUCUUCACGCGACUCAAUCUCCAGAGAGUAACAUAUCCUCCAUCAUCAUUCGAACAUCUCUUCCACCUACACUGACAGUGAAUCCACCGGUGAUCUCAGAGACAGACUCAGUCACUCUGCACUGUCAGACUCCAUCAUCUGUUCCUGUGUCUCAGUGUCAUUUCUACACUUUAAGUGGAGAAACUGUCAAAGACGUCUCUUGUCUGAAGACACUGACAGGAACUGAGCUGCUGGAGAUGUCACAUCAGAGUUCACCUGCUGAGGUUGAGAUGACAUGUUUUUACACUGUAAAGCUUGGAGAGUCACAUUACCUAUCUCCACACAGUGACACAUCCUCCGUCACCAUACACAGUGACACAUCCUCCGUCACCAUACACAGUGACACAUCCUCUGUCACCAUACACAGUGAUACAUCCUCCGUCACCAUACACAGUGACACAUCCUCCGUCACCAUACACAGUGACACAUCCUCCGUCACCAUACACAGUUUGAGUGUUAGUACACCUGGCACUAAAGAUAGCUCCUACCCUGCAACAUCUCAGAAAACAGCUUCAGCAACGUGGAUAUUGAACUUUAUUGUAGUUGUAGCUGGUUGCGGUGUAACUGUGGCCGUCAUCUUGCUCGUUUCUGCAAUUCUCUGGAACAAAAAAAGAACUGCAGGUGAAAGGCGGGAGCCUCAAAAUGAGAAUUUGGACGCAUACCCUUUGUACUGCAGCAUCUCUGAGGAGCCAGCUGCAUCAGAGCUGAAGGGUGUGAUGUACAGCACCGUGCAGACACACUGAAACUGAGCAGACAGCCUGAAGAACUGUUACUGAAAUGCACCUUGUGUUUGAAGUUGAGUGGUUUAAUCUAGUUUUAGUUUUACAGUUUUAGAAGUUUUACAGCCAGAUGCAAUUAUCAAGUUGAGGUUUAUGACUUAAAAUGUAUUUAGUUUUACUUUAUAACUAAAACAAAGUUCACUUUACUCCUGUUGUUUGAUGUUGAUCAUAUUUUCUAUGCACUAUACAUAUAUUUACAUGCAUUUUACUGCUACUGUAAAUAUGCUGUAUGUUUUAGCCCCCCCCCA
ensembl:lncRNA